rnacentral:rRNA from 1 species
GGGGAAUUUUGGACAAUGGGCGCAAGCCUGAUCCAGCAAUGCCGCGUGAGUGAAGAAGGCCUUCGGGUUGUAAAGCUCUUUUGUCAGGGAAGAAACGGCUGGGGCUAAUAUCCUCGGCUAAUGACGGUACCUGAAGAAUAAGCACCGGCUAACUACGUGCCAGCAGCCGCGGUAAUACGUAGGUGGCAAGCGUUGUCCGGAUUUACUGGGCGUAAAGGGCGUGCAGGCGGUUUGUUAAGUCUAGGAUGAAAGCUCCCGGCUCAACUGGGAGAGGUCCUUGGAUACUGGCAGACUUGUGGAGAGUAGAGGAGAGUGGAAUUCCCGGUGUAGUGGUGAUAUGCGUAGAUAUCGGGAGGAACACCAGUGGCGAAGGCGGCUCUCUGGGCUCUACCUGACGCUGAGACGCGAAAGCGUGGGGAGCGAAC